CGAAGCGCAAGCAGAGGUUCUUGACUGAGUGGCGGACGGGUGAGUAACGCGUGGAUAACCUGCCUUUCACAGGGGGAUAACAGCUGGAAACGGCUGCUAAUACCGCAUGAGCCUCUUUUAUCGCAUGAGGAGAGAGGGAAAGAGAAAUCGGUGAGAGAUGGAUCCGCGUCCGAUUAGCUAGUUGGAGGGGUAACAGCCCACCAAGGCGACGAUCGGUAGCCGACCUGAGAGGGUGGACGGCCACAUUGGGACUGAGACACGGCCCAAACUCCUACGGGAGGCAGCAGUGGGGAAUAUUGCACAAUGGGGGAAACCCUGAUGCAGCAACGCCGCGUGAGUGAGGAAGUAUUUCGGUAUGUAAAGCUCUAUCAGCAGGGAAUAGAAAAGAAGGUACCUGAAAAAGAAGCCCCGGCUAACCACGUGCCAGCAGCCGCGGUAAUACGUAGGGGGCAAGCGUUAUCCGGAUUUACUGGGUGUAAAGGGAGCGUAGACGGAAAGGCAAGUCAGAAGUGAAAACCCAAGGCUCAACCAUGGGACUGCUUUUGAAACUGUCAAACUAGAGUACGGGAGAGGUAAGAGGAAUUCCUAGUGUAGCGGUGAAAUGCGUAGAUAUUAGGAGGAACACCAGUGGCGAAGGCGUCUUACUGGACCGAAACUGACGUUGAGGCUCGAAAGCGUGGGGAGCAAACAGGAUUAGAUACCCUGGUAGUCCACGCGGUAAACGAUGAAUACUAGGUGUUGGGGU
rnacentral:rRNA from 1 species